AUACUUAGGGUGCAAGCGUUAAUCGGAAUUACUGGGCGUAAAGCGCUCGUAGGCGGCUUGUUAAGUCGGAUGUGAAAUCCCCGGGCUCAACCUGGGAACUGCAUUCGAUACUGGCAAGCUAGAGUAUAGUAGAGGCAAGUGGAAUUCCGGGUGUAGCGGUGAAAUGCGUAGAUAUCCGGAGGAACAUCAGUGGCGAAGGCGACUUGCUGGACUAAUACUGACGCUAAGGAGCGAAAGCGUGGGGAGCAAACGGGAUUAGAAACCCUAGUAGUCC
rnacentral:rRNA from 1 species